GACGAACGCUGGCGGCGUGCUUAACACAUGCAAGUCGAACGGUGAAGCGCUUUCCUUUUUGGUUGGUGUGGAUGAGUGGCGAACGGGUGAGUAACACGUGAGUAACCUGCCCCCUUCUUCUGGAUAACCGCAUGAAAGUGUGGCUAAUACGGGAUAUUCUGCGCCUGCUGCAUGGUGGGUGUGGGAAAGAUUGUGCCUUUGGGUGUUUUCGGUGGGGGAUGGGCUCGCGGCCUAUCAGCUUGUUGGUGGGGGGAUGGCCUACCAAGGCGGUGACGGGUAGCCGAGGUGAGAGGGGGGAAGAUCAGAAGGGGACCGAGACACGGACCACACUGCGACGGGAGGGAGGAGUAGGGAAGACUGCACAAUGGGCGCGAGCCUGAUGCAGCGACGCCUGGUGAGGGAUGGAGGCGUUCGGGUUGUGAACCUCUUUCGCGAGUGGAGCAGGCCGGCUCCUUGUGGGUGGGUUGACGGUAGCUGGAUAAGAAGCACCGGCUAACUACGUG
rnacentral:rRNA from 1 species